GACGAACGCUGGCGGCGUGCCUAAUACAUGCAAGUUGAGCGCUGAAGGUUGGUACUUGUACCAACUGGAUGAGCAGCGAACGGGUGAGUAACGCGUGGGGAAUCUGCCUUUGAGCGGGGGACAACAUUUGGAAACGAAUGCUAAUACCGCAUAAAAACUUUAAACACAAGUUUUAAGUUUGAAAGAUGCAAUUGCAUCACUCAAAGAUGAUCCCGCGUUGUAUUAGCUAGUUGGUGAGGUAAAGGCUCACCAAGGCGAUGAUACAUAGCCGACCUGAGAGGGUGGUCGGCCACAUUGGGACUGAGACACGGCCCAAACUCCUACGGGAGGCAGCAGUAGGGAAUCUUCGGCAAUGGACGAAAGUCUGACCGAGCAACGCCGCGCGAGUGAAGAAGGUUUUCGGAUCGUAAAACUCUGUUGGUAGAGAAGAACGUUGGUGAGAGUGGAAAGCUCAUCAAGUGACGGUAACUACCCAGAAAGGGACGGCUAACUACGUG
rnacentral:rRNA from 1 species